CAAUAGCGUAUAUUAAAGUUGUUGCAGUUAGAACGCUCGUAGUCGGAUUUCAGGGCGGGCCGACCGGUCUGCCGAUGGGUAUGCACUGGUCGGCGCGUCCUUCCUUCCGGAGACCGUCCCUACUCUUAACUGAGCGGGGGCGGGAGACGGGACUUUUACUUUGAAAAAAUCAGAGUGUUUCAAGCAGGCAGCUCGCUCUUGCAUGGAUUAGCAUGGGAUAAUGAAAUAGGACUUUGGUGCUAUUUUGUUGGUUUCGAACACCGAAGUAAUGAUGAGAAGGGACAGUCAGGGGCACUCGUAUUCCGCCGAGAGAGGUGAAAUUCUCAGACCAGCGGAAGACGAACCACUGCGAAAGCAUUUGCCAGGGAUGUUUUCACUGA
rnacentral:rRNA from 1 species